rnacentral:tRNA from 1 species
CCCCGUGUGGCUUAGUUGGUAGAGCAUGGCGCUUGCAAUGCCAGGGUUAUGGGUUAGAUUACCACGGGUG